rnacentral:rRNA from 1 species
UUUUAUGGAGAGUUUGAUCCUGGCUCAGGAUGAACGCUGGCGGCGUGCCUAAUACAUGCAAGUCGAGCGAACGGACGAGAAGCUUGCUUCUCUGAUGUUAGCGGCGGACGGGUGAGUAACACGUGGAUAACCUACCUAUAAGACUGGGAUAACUUCGGGAAACCGGAGCUAAUACCGGAUAAUAUUUUGAACCGCAUGGUUCAAAAGUGAAAGACGGUCUUGCUGUCACUUAUAG